rnacentral:rRNA from 1 species
CCUACGGGUGGCAGCAGUGAGGAAUAUUGGUCAAUGGGCGUAAGCCUGAACCAGCCAAGUCGCGUGAGGGAUGAAGGUUCUAUGGAUCGUAAACCUCUUUUAUAAGGGAAUAAAGUGUGGGACGUGUCCUCUUUUGUAUGUACCUUAUGAAUAAGGAUCGGCUAACUCCGUGCCAGCAGCCGCGGUAAUACGGAGGAUCCGAGCGUUAUCCGGAUUUAUUGGGUUUAAAGGGUGCGUAGGCGGCCUUUUAAGUCAGCGGUGAAAGUCUGUGGCUCAACCAGAGGAUUGCCGUUGAAACUGGGAGGCUUGAGUUGGAUGGAGGCAGGCGGAAGGCGGGGUGUAGCGGUGAAAUGCAUAGAUAUCACGCAGAACCCCGAUUGCGAAGGCAGCCUGCCAAGCCAUGACUGACGCUGAGGCACGAAAGCGUGGGUAUCAAACAGGAUUAGAUACCCCGGUAGUC